CAAUAGCGUAUAUUAAAGUUGUUGCGGUUAAAAAGCUCGUAGUUGGAGUUCUGCCAGGUGCCGCCUGUCCGCCCCAGUGGUGAGUACGUGGCGCGCAUUUGGCCCUUUCAAGGGGAGCGUAUCUGCACUUUAUUGUGUGGUGCGGGAUCCUUGACUUUUACUUUGAGGAAAUAGGAGUGUUCCAAGCAGGCUCUCGUCGUGCACAGCUCAGCAUGGAAUAAUAGCAUUGGACCUCGAUUCUAAGCUGUUGGUUGCCAGAAGCGAGGUAAUGAUGAAGAGGGAUAGUUGGGGGCAUUCGUAUUUAACUGUCAUAGGUGAAAUUCUUGGAUUUGUUAAAGACGGACUACUGCGAAAGCAUCUGCCAUGGAUGUUUUCAUCGA
rnacentral:rRNA from 1 species